CCACACAACGGUAUUCGAGGCGUCACUCCACCAUCCUCACAUAUUCUUACGCAAUUACGCGCGCAGACUCUUUCUUUCUCUCUGCAAACAAAAAUGGCAGCACCAAAACUACCAAUAUCUAUACUCAAUAAUACAGUAAAAAUAAAAUCAAUGGCAAAUAAUCGCACAACACUUCGUUCUCCUCCUUUAAAACCUCAGCAACGCCAAACUAUGUCGGCUUUCGAAGCUCGAGUCUCUCUCCUCUUCGCUCUCGCUUCUCAAUCCGCUUCUCUUUCUCAACGAGUUGUGGCGGAUUUAGUUGCUGAAACUACCAAGUAUGUUGUUCCGAAGAGAUUCGAGAGUCGUAAUCUUGAAGAAGCUUUGAUGGCUGUUCCGGACAUUGAGACAGUAAAUUUUAAGGUGCUGAGCAGGAGGAACCAGUAUGAGAUCCGAGAAGUUGAGCCUUAUUUCAUAGCAGAGACAACCAUGCCUGGGAAAGAAGGAUUUGAUUUCUUUGGAGCUUCUCAGUCUUUCAAUGUGUUAGCUGAGUACUUGUUCGGUAAGAAUAGACCAAAUGAGAAGAUGGAGAUGACAACACCUGUCAUCACUCGUAGGACAUCUGAUGGAGAGAAAAUGGAAAUGACGACCCCUGUAAUUACCAAGAGGGCGGGGGAUGAAGUCAAAUGGAAGAUGUCUUUUGUGAUGCCUUCAAAAUAUGGCUCAAAUUUGCCGGUACCAAAGGAUUCCUCUGUGAGGAUCACUGAGGUGCCAAAGAAGAUAGUUGCAGUUGCUGCCUUUUCAGAAUGCAUUAAGGUGGUACAUGCCAUCAAUGAGGAAUUGGAUGUGAGUGAAAUCAAAGUUGUGCUUGAUAGCAUGAAGGUGUUUCAUACGAUGUUGGCAGUUAUGUUUUGAAGUGUAGACAUCUAUUGGAGAAACUUCAUGAUCAUUAUGUCUCGAUUUAUGACCCCGAUUUCUUUCCGACUUUCAGACAUGCAAAUACUGUUCGCUUUGAUUCUCUAAUUACUAACAUAUUGAAGAAACAAAAAACUAUUGUUUUCGGAUCCGCUUGUGCAAGAGUAGACGAUUAUUUGUCCUAUCAAUUUGAAACAGGUUCAGAUUUCCACAUUCUUAAAUGGUGGAAACUUAAGGAAAAUCAGUUCCCCAUUUUGACUAGAAUUGCAAGCGACGUACUUGCAAUUUCAGCAUUAAUUAUUGCUUCGGAAUCAGCUUUUAGUGCAGGUAGGUAGAAGAGUGCUCGAUGAAAAAAGAUCUCGUCUAUCUCCACAAAGCAUCGAGAUAUGCGUUUGCAAGAAAGAUUAGGAUCAAGUCGAAAAAAGAACGCAAGGAUUAAGGGAAGAUGAAGCAGAAGAAGAUGACCCUUGGAUGCUAAUGGACACUGAAUCAUCUAGUUCAUCUAAUGCAGAGGAACAUACAGAUGGGGGACAAUAGUCAACUGUCAACCACGACUUCAAAUAAAAUAAGGUAUUGUUACUGAUGAAGAAGUCAAGCAACGAGAGUCAAAAUUGCGAGACGCUUUGAAGAAUGAUUUGGAGUUUAAAGUAAAAGUUGGAGCAGAAAUAGAAGUUGCACAG